UCUACCCUGUUGUCAAAGAGGUCUCCAUUACGCAAUUGAAUAUGCAAAAGUUUAUGUUUGGCACCAAGCUGGGAGUGCAAUCGGUCAGAAAUAAAUUGUAUAUUAAUAAUUGCGUUUUAGGUUCAGUUUAGAUUAUGAUUCAUUUAUUCUGUGACAUUUGCAUAUGUGCAAAAGAAGGGGAAGAUAAAUUAGCCAACAAAUCUUUGAACUACAGGCAAGCUCUAGCAUCAAUUGGAACACUCAAUACACAUGGUGUAAUUUAGCAGGGUAAUUGAUGAAAUUUUUGCAAGAAGCUGCUGCAGUUGCUAUCUACCUCUUUUCUGGUGUUUAUUUGAUAGUUUGAUUAGUUCAUUAAUUGUUUGGUUCACCUUGCGAUAUAUGACAUAAGUACAUGAUUACUAGCUACUUCAUUUGCAGAGGUGCCUAGAGGGGAGUUGUUGGGUGACUGCCUGACUAAAGGUGGAGACGACAAGAAAGGUCCAUGCGAAGGAGGGGCUGCAUCAGCAUAGGACUCUCCUUGACACCACACUGCAGGAGAUCGAUGCCAGGAUGUGAUGUGCUCGCGAGGAUAAUAUGAAGCUCAGGAAGGAGCCGAAACGCUUGUGCAGCCAUCCAACGAGCUGGCAGGAGACCCACACAUGGUGUCUUCUUUGAUACUUCUGUUCAUGCUAUCUUUUGUAGAAAUUGGUCGGCUUAGUGUUAUGUAGCUCCAUAUGGUAUACUACAACUUUGAAACGUUUUUUUAUAGGAAGAUUAAAGUAGUUAGGUGAAGGGGAACACUCUAUUUGGACUAUUUAUCACUAUAUUUAAAGAUCAUAAGAGAAUACUGGAUUGCGAUUUCUUUGGUAA